AGUGAACGCUGGCGGCAGGCCUAACACAUGCAAGUCGAGCGGCAGCGCGGGGGCAACCCUGGCGGCGAGCGGCGGACGGGUGAGGAAUUCGUCGGAAUCUGCCUUUUUGUGGGGGAUAACGUAGGGAAACUUACGCUAAUACCGCAUACGUCCUACGGGAGAAAGUGGGGGACCGCAAGGCCUCACGCAGAAAGAUGAGCCGACGACCGAUUAGCUAGUUGGUGGGGUAAAGGCCCACCAAGGCGACGAUCGGUAGCUGGUCUGAGAGGAUGAUCAGCCACACUGGGACUGAGACACGGCCCAGACUCCUACGGGAGGCAGCAGUAGGGAAUAUUGGACAAUGGGCGCAAGCCUGAUCCAGCCAUGCCGCGUGUGUGAAGAAGGCCUUCGGGUUGUAAAGCACUUUUGUCCGGAAAGAAAUCCCUGGAGCUAAUACCUUCGGGGGAUGACGGUACCGGAAGAAUAAGCACCGGCUAACUUCGUG
rnacentral:rRNA from 1 species